GCGGGCGUGGCGGAAUUGGCAGACGCGCUAGCUUCAGGUGCUAGUGAGCGCCGGCUCGUGAUGGUUCAAGACCUUUCGCCCGCACCA
rnacentral:tRNA from 1 species